AGCACCAUUUCCCAGCCGAAUGAGCUUGGGAACAUAAAGCGAGUUUCUGUAGUGGUUACUCGCUUGGUGAAUAUGUUUUAUAAAUCCUGUCCACCCCGUGGAUAGGUAGUCGGCAAAACGUCGGACUGUCAAUAGAAUUGAAACGCUGGCACACUGUUGGGUCCUGAGGCAACACAUUGUGUUGUCACCCUGCUUGGUGGUGGGGUGUGGUCUUUGACUUAUGGAUAGUGGUUGCGAGCAUCUAACAAACCUCGCUCGUUUACGAGUGGGGUUAGUUUUUGCAAUUUAUUAGCUAAGUUCUUAAGGGCACAUGGUGGAUGCCUUGGC
rnacentral:misc_RNA from 1 species